rnacentral:lncRNA from 1 species
AACAUUUUAUAAUGUUUUUAAUUUAACAAGGCAAGUCAGUUAAGAACAAAUUCUUAUUUACAAUGACCGCCUACCAAAAGGCCACAUGCGGGGACGGGGGCCUGGGAUUAAAAAUAUAAAUACAAUAUAAAUAUAGGACAAAACACACAUCACAACAAGAGAGACAACACUACAUCAAGAGAGACUUAAGACAACAUAACAAGGUAGCAACACAACAUGCUAUCAACAUGGUACAAACCUUAUUGGGCACAGUCAACAGUACUAAGGUCAAGGUAGAGACAAUACAUCAUACAAAGCAGCCACAACUGUCAGUAAGUGUCCAUGAUUGAGUCUUUGAAUGAAGAGAUUGAGAUAAAACUGUCCAGUUUGAGUGUUUGUUGCAGCUCGUUCCAGUCGCUAGCUGCAGCGAACUGAGAAGAGGAGCGACCCAGGGAUGUGUGCUUUGGGGACUUUUAACAGAAUGUGACUGGCAGAACGGGUGUUGUAUGUGGAGGAUCAGGGUUGUAGUAGAUAUCUCAGAUAGAGGGGAGUGAGGCCUAAGAGGGUUUUAUAAAUAAGCAUCAAUCAGUGGGUCUUGCGACGGGUAUACAGAGAUGACCAGUUUACAGUGGAGUAGAGUGCAGUGAUGUGUCCUAUAAGGAGCAUUGGUGGCAAAUCUGAUGGCCGAAUGGUAAAAAAACAUCUAGCCGCUCGAGAGCACCCUUACCUAACAAUCUAUAAAUGAUGUCUCCGUAAUCUAGCAUGGGUAGGAUGGUCAUCUGAAAUCACGGUUAGUUUGGCAGCUGGGCUGAAAGAGGAGCGAUUACGAUAGAGGAAACCAAGUCUAGAUGUAGUAACUUUAGCCUGCAGCUUUGAUAUGUGCAGAGAGAAGGACAGUGCACCAUCUAGCCAUACUCCCAAGUACUUGUAUGCGGUGACUACCUCAAGCUCUAAACCCUCAGAGGUAGUAAAAACACCUGUGGGAAGAGGGGCAUUCUUCUUACCAAACCACAUGACCUUUGUUUUGGAGGUGUUCAGAACAAGGUUAAGGGUAGAGAAAGCUUGUUGGACACUAAGAAUGCUUUGUUGUAGAGCAUUUAACACAAAAUCCAGGGAGGGGCCAGCUGAGUAUAAGACUGUAUCAUCUGCAUAUAAAUGGAUGAGAGAGCUUCCUACUGCCUGAGCUAUGUUGUUGAUGUAAAUUGAGAAGAGCGUGGGGCCUAGGAUUGAGCCUUGGGUUACUUCCUUGGUGACAGGCAGUAGCUGAGACAGCAGAUUUUCUGAGAUAGUUAGCAAACCAGGCCAAAGACCCCUCAGAGACACCAAUACUCCUUAGCCAGCCCACAAUAAUUUGAAUGGUCUACCAUAUCAAAAGCUUUGGCCAAGUCAAUAGAAAUAGCAGCACAAUAUUGCUUCGAUACAAGGGCAAUUGUGACAUCAUUGAAGACCUAUAAGGUUGCGUUGCCACAUCCAUAACCUGAGCAGAAACCAGAUUGCAUACCCAAGAGAAUACUCGUUUUCCCAACACUUUUGAUAAACAAGGCAAAAUAGAAAUAGGCCUAUAACAGUUAGGAUCAGCUUGAUCUCCCCCUUUAAAUAAAGGACAAACUGUCGCUGCCUUCCAAGCAAUGGAAACCUCCCCAGAAAGGAGACAGGUUUAAAAGGUCGGAGUUAGGCUUUGCGAUGAUGGGGGCAGCAACCUUAAAGAAGAAAGGGUCUAAACCAUCUGACCCAGAUGUUUUUUGGGGGUCAAAUUUAAAGAGCUCCUUUAGCACCUCGGACUCAGUGACUGCCUGCAGGGAGAAACUUUGUAGCGGGGCAGGGGUAAAAGAGGGAGAAGCAUCAGGGAUAGUCGCAUUAGAAGGGGUGGGAGAUGAGGAAAUGUUGGAUGGGCAAGGAGGCAUGGCUGAGUCAAAUAGGAAUCCUGACUUAAUGAAGUGGUGAUUAAAGAGCUCAGCCAUGUGCUUCUUGUCAGUUACAAUCACAUCAUCAACAUUAAGGGACAAGGGCAGCUGUGAAGAGGGUUUAUUCUCCAGGUCUUUAUCCAUUUUCCAGAACUUCUUGGGGUUAGACCCAGAGAGAGAGAAGUGCUCCUUAAAGUAACGAACUUUGGCCUUCCGGAUAGCCUGAGUGGGCUUAUUUCUCAUUUGCCUGAACGAUAGCCAGUCAGCCUGAGUAUGCGUGUGCCUUUCGCCAAAUGCAAUUCUUGAGGUGGAGUAACGCUACAAGAUCACGGUCAAACCAGGGUCUGAACCUGUUUUUAAUUCUCAUUUUCUUUAUGGGUGCGUGUUCAAUACCACAGAAAAUAUUUUAAAAAGUAGGGCCAAGCGUCUUCGACAUGAUUACAUUUAAGUUAAUGUUCUUGCAAUGUUCUCUAACUGGUUUGCCAUUGGGAUUGUACUCAAAUAGUCCGGAAAACGUUAAACGUUUUUCUGUGUGAAUUUCAGUAAUUCAGCAUAACGUUUUUUACAAGUUUCCUCAUGGUUCUAUUUAAAGUCAUGUUCUCAGAACGUUCAGAAACAAUGUUUUUCAGCAUAAUGUUUUCUACAGGUUUCCUGAUGGGUCUAUUUAAAGUCAUGUUCUCAGAACGUUCAGAGAACGUUAACAUUCUUCUGUGGUAAUUUCAGUACGUCAUCAUAACGUUUUCUGCAGGUUUCCUAAUGGUUCUAUUUAAAGUCAUGUUCUCAGAACGUUCAGAAACAACAUUCUUCUGUGGGAAUUUCAGUACUUCAUAACAUUUUCUGCAGGUUUCCUCAUGGUUCUAUUUAAAGUCAUGUUCUCAGAACAUUAGGAAAACUUUCCAUAAAAAAAAACAAGAAAACAUUAGUAACAUUCAGAGAACGUGCUAAGAAUGUUAUUUAAAAUAUAUACAUUCCGUUCUGACUCAACAAAACUCUACUAUGGAGCGAUUUCAGUGCCAACGUGUUUGAAUUUCAUAAUUUUUCAUUUUAUUAGAAUUCAUGAUUUGAAAUGGAAUUGAGUGAAUAUUGUAUUCCGUUUUAAAAUUCAAUUUAAUUCAAUAUGUAUGUAUUCAGUUUCAGUAUGGUAGAUAUUGCAUUCAUUGUCUGUGUAUCAAGUUUACAAACUAUAAUUUUAAGUUGAUCAAAAUUUCACAUAUUCAACUUCUCAGAUGCAUUGAGAUUCCGUUUUCAAGUCCAGUUCUUUAAAUUCAGAUUCAAAACCAUUGAGCUAUAAUAAGAACUAGACAGCCUCCAAGAUGGUCGGAUGUUUUUUUUCAAUGUAAUCUACUGACGGUUGCAUAUACCGGAUUCGUGGGCGCUGACAUCUUGCUAGUUCAGGUUUGAGGAGCCAAUUAGUACAUGGGCACUAGCACUGCAGCACAACAAGCGUGAACGUGCAUUCCAGCAUGAGCUAACAGCAGGGUCGUGGAUCUGGAUUACUGGGGGAGGGGAAAUAUGGUGGCACAAAGCACCACGCACACAACCACUGGAAACAUGAACAACAUUUUGUGUAUGCAACACCCUGGGUUGACGCAGGAGAAGACUAGUGAGCUUCAGCGGGACCUCCUGAUGGGCGAGCAUGACAUACAGGAGGAGUGGGAUGGGAGUCCACAGAAGAUUGGACACUGAUGAGCUGAGCUGGUGAUUCCUCCUCUGCAUCUGGGGGCAUAGUUUCCAUCAACAGGGCAGAGAUACCAUCAGCCUGAGAAAGGAGGAGGAUAUGGUCAGAGGGAGAGGGGCAGGGUGAUAAGGGGUUUCCCUAGCCAUGUGUGUCAAAAUAUAUUAGAUGGGAAUUAUUGUGACUAGACUACGUCAUUGUAAGUCAAACACUUGUGCAACUAGAGAGAUAACACAUUCCCUAUGUUUACCUACUGAACUGCUUUGUGUAGGGGGUUAUAGGCUUACCUGUCAGUGGCGUUCACACGGGCAUUGAACUUGAUCAGGAGGGCCACAAUAUGCGUGUGCUGUAGAGGAGAGACGUGACAGAGGAAAGAAGAGACAGGAGAGGAGCGAGAGAGACCCGAGGACAUGAUUUAACAUCCUCAUGACUUGCCCAAUGACAUCCACACUAAUAAAUAUGAAGACUUUCCACUAGCUCUUUCAUCACAGUAUGGGUGACGCUAUUUUAUGUGACGGAUGGUUUUCUGGAAGGUUCUGUAACCUAAAAACAAUGCAUACAAUGUAUUCUAAAGCCUGCUGACAUCCAAGCUAUUACAUAGGCCACAAUGUCACAGCGUAUAUGUUUUGUUUGCAUUUUGUCUAUGUAAAAACUUUAUUGCACACCAUACAGCAUGUAAAACGUCUUCAGAGGCCUGAUGUAAUCGUUGUAGUGACUCACGCUGUAUGAGGCUGUGUUGUGCAGGGAGAUGAGGCCUGAUUGUUGUCAUCAGCCCUGUGCUUUAGGAGGGCAGCAUCUCCUUCCAGCAGGACCUGGCUGCCCGUGUCCAAAGACAAGCUAUCAUCAUAGUUCUUCUUGGUGGGGAUACACAGAGAUAGAAGAUGUAUGUAAAGCAUUUUACGUAAAAAGUUACCGUUACACAUAUUGCACGGUACUGACUAGAAGAAGAAAAAAAAGAAGCAACCUAGUUGCCUUCAGUCAAUCAAACAAUAAUCUUUCUAGGGCUAAUAUGAAAGGCACAGGAAGGAAGACUAACCUUGAGCAUCAGCAGAUCUUUUGGCUAUUUGCCCUUGGCUGCAGCCUCAAAGAGAGGGUUGAAAUUCCACAGGUCAGCUAUGUUGACCAAUGCCCCGUUUCUCACCAG